rnacentral:rRNA from 1 species
GACGAGGGGUCCUAGCGUUGUUCGGAAUCACUGGGCGUAAAGCGUUUGUAGGCGGCUCUGUAAGUCGGGUGUGAAAUCCCACGGCUCAACCGUGGAAGUGCAUUCGAAACUGCAGGGCUUGAAUAUGGAAGAGGAGAGUAGAAUUCCAGGUGUAGUGGUGAAAUACGUAGAUAUCUGGAGGAAUACCGGUGGCGAAGGCGGCUCUCUGGUCCAAUAUUGACGCUGAGAAACGAAAGUGCGGGGAUCAAACAGC